GACCAGCUUGCUAGAAAAAAAAAUAAAAAAUAGAGGCAGCUCACUGGUAAGUGCUGCUAUUUGAGCUAUUUUUAGAACUCGCCAGCGGGCGACUCAUCUGGUCCUUACGGGCUACCUGGUGCCCGCGGGCACCGCCUUGGUGACCCCUGACAUAGAAAGUCAGGUUAACACACACAAAAAAAAAAAUGAAUUUAUUAUCUUACCCUCAGAUUGUUGCCCCGUCGACAGGUCAGGCUGCAGUUGAAAAAAUAAGGAUUUCUGCCACCAGCUGAGCGUUACAGGCACCGGCCGCGGGCUGGCGACGAUGAUGGCGACGGCGGUAGCCAACAUGGCUAACCAAGUCAGCCAGAAGAGCAGCACCAGGUAGCAGCGCACCCUCCUCCAGCCGGGGCUCCCAGCGCUCACUUCGAGGUCCUCCUUGCUCAUAGGCCGCCACGGCGGGUCCGGUGCGAGGUCCGGGACCAGCAAAGAGGCCGUCUCCGAACCGGCCUCGCUGGCCGUGAGGACCGGGGAGGCCACGCUUCCGUAGCCGUUGUCCCCGGCGUUCAAGGGCAUGGUGGCGGGCUGCAGGUGAGGGCAACUACAGCGGGGACAUGGAGGACUGUUAGGCCGCUUUCCCACGCCGACACCCCGGCAUAACAGGUCCUUCUGCCGUCUCCUGGUAUAACUUAAUGUGUGUGUUGGCGUUUUUGACGAAAUAGUGCUGUGACCGGGACCGGUCGAGGAGUAAAAAGUAAUCUUACUUGCUGGUGAUGCCUCCCCCUGGUGGAAGUCCUGGUAUUCCCUCCUCGGCCAGGAAUUUGAUCACAUACAAGAGAGCUGCUUCCUGCUGCAGUGCUUCUUUUGACAGCUGGGGGGCGCCCGGGAAGCACACUAUGAUGAUGCUGAUGUUGUCCAAGCUGCCCUGGAGGAGCAACAGAUUGAUUAAAGUACCUGUAGCCAGGAUGUGGUCCAGCAGGUUCCUGGAGCAAUACUGGGCCACUGUGCUCCCAGCAUGGCCGUCAAACACAGCAUAAUAGGCCCACUCGCUCAGCUCCCCUGUCAUCUGAGGCAUGCACGUGUGCGCAUCUUCCAUCUGAGCCCUCCAGCCCUGCAUGUUUGCCACCGCAUAGUUCACCCCGGACCGGGACCCCCCCUCGGACACGUGCUUCUCCAAAAUGGGCCGCUCCAGCUGGCGGAGGAAGGAGGGCACCUCCACGUUGCUCGCCCGGCGCGCUGUCCUCAUCACGACUCUGAGUCGCUGCUCAAGCUUCCUGCUCGACCUGGCCGCCGCUCGUCGUCUCCUCUUGCUGGUG